rnacentral:rRNA from 1 species
GAUGAACGCUGGCGGCGUGCCUAAUACAUGCAAGUCGAGCGAACAGAUGAGGAGCUUGCUCCUCUGACGUUAGCGGCGGACGGGUGAGUAACACGUGGAUAACCUACCUAUAAGACUGGGAUAACUUCGGGAAACCGGAGCUAAUACCGGAUAAUAUAUUGAACCGCAUGGUUCAAUAGUGAAAGACGGUUUUGCUGUCACUUAUAGAUGGAUCCGCGCCGCAUUAGCUAGUUGGUAAGGUAACGGCUUACCAAGGCAACGAUGCGUAGCCGAUCUGAGAGGAUGGUGAGCAACAAGGGAACUGAGACACGGUCGAGACGCGUACGGGAGGGAGAAGUGGGGAAUGUUUGAGAAGGGGCGAAAGCUUGAAACAGUAAUAGAGCGUGGGUGAAGAAGGGUUUAGGUUUGUAAAGCCGUUUUGUUGGGAAAGAAAAGGAGAAGAUUAAUACACCGCGGUUCUGACGUUACAGAAAGAAUAAGCACCGGCUAACUUCGUG